rnacentral:rRNA from 1 species
UACGAAGGGGGCUAGCGUUGCUCGGAAUCACUGGGCGUAAAGGGUGCGUAGGCGGGUCUUUUAAGUCAGGGGUGAAAUCCUGGAGCUCAACUCCAGAACUGCCUUUGAUACUGAGGAUCUUGAGUUCGGGAGAGGUGAGUGGAACUGCGAGUGUAGAGGUGAAAAUUCGUAGAUAUUCGCAAGAACACCAGUGGCGAAGGCGGCUCACUGGCCCGAUACUGACGCUGAGGCACGAAAGCGUGGGGAGCAACAGG